rnacentral:lncRNA from 14 species
GAACCCCAAACAAACCUAUCACAAGUGGUAAUAUACAUUGGUGAGGCACUGCCAAACCCCUGAGAGCUGUCCACAGACAAAAGGGGUCAGGUCAUUCUUUGCACAGCCCUGCAACUGCUUGGUGCAGGGUUUCUUCUGAAGACAUAAGGGUUUAGACCUGCAAGAGGAACUGCAUGGGUUUUGCAGUCCACAUGCUCAGGUUGGAUACUGGGAAACGCUGUUUGGUGAUGCAGGGGGCAGAAGACCAUAGAAAGCCACCUCUCUCCAGCUUCUCUCUGCUCUUCCUCUGGUUUAGCUGAGGUUUAAAGCUACCUCAGUGCCUGAGUGGAUUAUUGGAGUCCAGGGUAACUUGGGAGACACAUGGAAGCCAACAUCCACCUGCCAGCUGUAGAUGGGGUCCAUCCACUUCAAGGCAAUUGCAUCUUGGUCCAGACAGGCACCCAGCAGUAGCAUCCUGGCAGGUGACUUGAGGCGUCCAUCAGAUGAUGAGAUAGUGGAGAUCUCCAGAGACUUUUCCUACACAAGAUGUCUGCAGACUCCAAACUCUGAAUCUCCAUUCGUGGACUCUGAGCUCCUGACAUUGAUUUUACCACUGCAGUAACAGGGAAAAUUGUGUGAAUUGGUGGCAGAAGCAAGUUACAUGGUGAGAGUCUUCAGGUCCUCCAGGGCACUCUGGCAGCACAAGGCAUUUUUCCAGUCAAAGUAUCUUCAGCUGUUUAUGUCCAGUAGCUGUAAGAUUUGGGUAUCAGAUAUCCAUCCUCAAGUGAAUCUACUUUCCCCAGGUGAGUUUGUAUUAAACUGAUGGUGGAUCAAAGAGGGCUGCGGCAAGAGCUGGGCUGCACUUUUUGGUUGGCACAGCUUUUGCCCUGCCUGAAAGCUCAUCUCUCUGCGUUUCUGUAUCCACAGAUACCUGAGUGUCCAUCAGAUGAUUUCUGCUGGAACAUCUUUGCUGCCCAUAUAUCUUGGGCUCACACUUGUGCC